UACGGGGGGGGCAAGCGUUGUUCGGAAUUACUGGGCGUAAAGGGCUCGUAGGCGGCCCGCUAAGUCGAACGUGAAAUCCCCAGGCUCAACCUGGGAACUGCGUCCGAUACUGGCAGGCUUGAAUCCGGGAGAGGGAUGUGGAAUUCCAGGUGUAGCGGUGAAAUGCGUAGAUAUCUGGAGGAAUACCGGUGGCGAAAGCGACUCUCUGGACGGCAACUGACGCUGAGGCACGAAAGCGUGGGGAGCAAACAGG
rnacentral:rRNA from 1 species